rnacentral:rRNA from 1 species
CCUACGGGAGGCAGCAGUGAGGAAUAUUGGUCAAUGGGCGCGAGCCUGAACCAGCCAAGUCGCGUGAGGGAAGACGGUCCUAUGGAUUGUAAACUUCUUUUGUCAGGGACGAAGAAAGUGACGGUACCUGACGAAUAAGCCACGGCUAACUACGUGCCAGCAGCCGCGGUAAUACGUAGGUGGCAAGCGUUAUCCGGAUUUACUGGGUGUAAAGGGCGUGUAGGCGGGACUGCAAGUCAGAUGUGAAAUUCCAGGGCUCAACCCUGGAACUGCAUUUGAAACUGUAGUUCUUGAGUGAUGGAGAGGCAGGCGGAAUUCCGUGUGUAGCGGUGAAAUGCGUAGAUAUACGGAGGAACACCAGUGGCGAAGGCGGCCUGCUGGACAUUAACUGACGCUGAGGCGCGAAAGCGUGGGGAGCAAACAGGAUUAGAUACCCCAGUAGUC